rnacentral:rRNA from 1 species
ACAGCAGCAGCCGCGGUAAUACGAAGGGUGCAAGCGUUACUCGGAAUUACUGGGCGUAAAGCGUGCGUAGGCGGUGAGUUAAGUCUGCUGUGAAAUCCCCGGGCUCAACCUGGGAAUGGCAGUGGAUACUGGCUCGCUAGAGUGUGUCAGAGGAUGGUGGAAUUCCCGGUGUAGCGGUGAAAUGCGUAGAGAUCGGGAGGAACAUCAGUGGCGAAGGCGGCCAUCUGGGACAACACUGACGCUGAGGCACGAAAGCGUGGGGAGCAAACAGGAUUAGAGACCCCCGUAGUCCCUGUCUCUUAUAC